CUCUCCCCAGCCAGAGACGGAGAACUCGUGAGGCCAAAAUGAGGGACGACUUUGGGUCCUCCCAGUUCACAUCAUUACAUCAAGAAAAUAUUGUUGUUUUUGGUUGGCGUUCUCAUAUAUUGCUAGCAUUCAAUGAAAGCCAAAAAUUUCCAGAUAAUGGAUGGAAUCGGAAGGCCUGUGUUGUUCAUAACGAAACUGUUGGCUGAAGGCGGUUAUCAAGAUGGUUUCUUAAAUGCUUUUGGUUUUUAAAAAGGAAAUCUUUGUUAGCUUUUCCUCUUCGCUUAUGCUUUGUUUUUAUUAAUAUUUUUUGUUUACAAUGUGUGGCUACGCGUUGUCACGCAAGAGGAAGCCUUUGCGUCAGUUAACUUAUUUUGUGGAUACUUCGGCUAAUAAUAUGUUCUACUGUAGAAUUUGUUUAAUACAUAAAUGGAUAAACAAAUAUAAUAAUCAUAUAAAAUAUAUAGGCGCCGUGCAGAAUAACUCAUGUGCCUUAUGGAAAAUUGGGUAAAAUAUGUCGAACAUAUAUGUAUUGUAGCAUACUUGAAGGGCUCUUAACGAAAUGACUAGCUUGCCGAAAUUGGGGGGUCCAUAAG